UGUUGCACUAACCUGGAAAAGUCGCUGAAUAGUGUUGCACACGAUGUGGAGGGGCCCAGGAAGAGCUCUGCAACUAUCUACCUGUUCCGGUGCUGUGGGUGUGGAGCUGGGCGGCGCAGUGCAGGCUGCAGCAGCAGGACAUGUAAGUAACAUGUGCCUGCUACUGCUUUGGGGCCCCUGGGCGAUUGCGCCCCAGGGGCUACUCGAUCCCCUGAUCUGCUCAUUGCCUAGGGGCAGGGGAUCGUGUAGCAAUGGAGCAAGCGGCUCUAACAGCCGCUCCUCCACUCUCAAACCCGGAAGUGCUGCAGAACGUAGAAUCUAUGAUCUGUGGCACUUUGGUCCUUUGAUCCACAGACCAUAGAUUCCACGAUCUGUGGCACUAAGGGUUAAAGAGGGAGAAGUGCAAGCUGGUAAAAGGUAUAGAAAAUGUCAGACAUGCGUAGAGACUGGCCAAGUUGGGGUUGUUCACACAGAAUAGGAACCUAAGGGGGGAUAUAACUAUUGUGAGCAGGAUCAGACGAACAGACAAUUCUUUAACAGGGCAAAGUCCAUUUAUUGUUCACAUAUACAGAGCAAAUGCAAACAAAGCAAACAAAAUAAAAUAAAACAAAAUCCUUGCCCCACUUGGGCUCUAACUAAUACACAGGGUAUUUUCACACAAAAGUACAACUCCACAGAGUCACAGUACCUUUCCAAUGUUUAUUUUCCUUUGAGCAAACAAACAGCCGCUCCAAAUGGCUACACUCAGAUCCCAGGUCUCAGCCCCCCUCUGCCUGUUGCUCAAUUUUACUCUGAGGCUCCCCCUCACUAGCAGCAAGCUGAUCUAGCCUGCUAAUUAUUCCCCAGUAGCAAGUUUUUCCUGCUAGGGUGCUAUUCUCAUGGUUAGGAAGCACAUUGAGCAUUGCAAACCAUUUCUGACUUUAUUUUGUUCUCUACAACGCUCAAAUCUUCUUCAGCCUUCAGAAAAACGGUGUUUUAAAAGGUUAAGUGGAUCUGGGGUGUCAUAAACCAUUGCCUCACACUGUAUUUUUUUUUAAUUCAGGUAGAGUUUAUUGAACAGAUAUUGCAUCAUAACUUGACAUGUUUUUUACAUUUUAUGCAUAGCAUUUGUGGUAGAAAUACAAGUAAAAGGGAAAGUACAAGAGGAACGAAUACAUCAUGUUCAUAAAAGGGAUGUGGAUAUAGUCUCUGUGUAUCGCCGUUCAGCGAUGGCCCAUUCUCCACAACAGGAAUCGCUACACAAUUUCUUUGAAAAGCGGCUUUUAUUCAGGCUCCAUAAGUGAUAACAGGCAGUGGAACAUCACAGGAAAUGUUAUUGGUAAAACAUCUUCAAAACAUAAGGUCAAGGCACGUAACAAUUCUAAAUUCUUACAUAUCAUCCGUCUAAGCAAUCAUACAUUUGCUUAACAAUGCCUGUCCUGUGUCAUAAUUAAAUGAACCCUUAAGAGACAUGUAAAAAAGCCCAAGGAAAAUAAAGAAGGAUAAAAGAAAAGGGGAGAGGACAAACUGGCAUGGGCGGUCCUCCACGGACUCAGUGUUUGCUCAAUAAUUAGAGAAGUAAGCACUUUUCGGUGCAUAUAAUUAAAUUAAAGUACAGGCAUUUGGUAAUCGAGUCGAAUGCCAGGGGUCUCAACAAUACUGCAAUAAUACUUCUGCAUCAGUUAUGUUACAAGAGUAAGAUAUUCCAAUGAUUCAACAAACUGUACCCAAAGGAACCAUUUUAAAGUGAGCUUCUCCUGCUGCUUCGGCUUACUAAAGUCCACUUUAUAACUUUCAAAUUGGUGGAUCUCGUUGACCUUACAUGCCCAGUCCUUAAGUGUAGGAAUGAGAUUUGAUUUCCAAAAUAAUGGAAUUAACGACUUUGCAACUGUUACCAAAGUAGAAAUAAGAGCAUUUUUAUAUUAUGCUGGGGACAACUGAUUUCAGUGCAGAAGAAAAAAAGGUGCCGAUUCUGGUAUAGGUAGAUCUGUGAAUCGAGGUAACAGUUAUUUAAUUUGAGUCCAAAACAAUUGUAUGUUAGGGCAUUGCCACAUGAUAUGUAAAAGAGUUCCACCUGAUUGACCACACCUCCAGCAUACAUAUGGAACUUUGGGAAAAAUCUUAGAUAAAACGAUUGGUACUCCAUACCAACGGGAGAGCAUCUUGUAAUUAUUUUCCAACAGUCUGGAGCAUCUGGUGGAUGUAUACGACUUUGUCACUAUGAGUUCCCAUUCUUCCUCUGUAAAAGUAUAAAGCAAUUUUUUUUCCCAAUUCCGUCGGAAAGUGCACAUUGGUGUUAUGGUACGGCAAAUCAAUAUCUUAUACAUUUUAGCAAUUUUGUGAGGAGUGUGAUCUGAGUUAGUGAACAUUUGCUCAAAUAAAGUGUCCUCCGGCCCUG